UGUGGGAGCUGGCUUGCCGGCGAUAGCGGUGGGUCAGCAACCUAUACGUUGACUGAUACACCGCUAUCGCCGGCAAGCCAGCUCCCACA
rnacentral:misc_RNA from 1 species